UCCAGUAAGGAGGAGAUUGACUGCUGUAACCCAGCAUGUACCUCGGUGGGGAAGGAGAGGGAGAGAGCCUAUCGGAAGCACUGGAGAUGGAGUUACUGUUGAGAGUCACUGUUGUGAGCCACUCUGCUGAGCUCCAUUUUCACUUUUAGGAGUCAAUCCUGGGGACGUCCCUCUCUGGAGCCAUUUCACAGGUUUUGAUGAUAACAUUUAUUAUUGUUUGCUUCCAUUACAAAUUUCUGCCUUUACUACAUUUUGUCAGAGAAUGAGAAACCCUGUGGUACGUUUGAGUAGGUUUGAAUCCUGAUUCUGCCUCCUGCCAUCUGUGUCAUUGUUAGCAAGUCACUGAGUCUCAGAAUCCUCACAACCAGGACAACUGGGGUCCCGGCAAGGAGACCACGUGUGGACAAACCUGUACGUUAUGCCCAGGAGCUCAACUCCGGCUGGUUUGUGCUGCAACAUCGCCG
rnacentral:lncRNA from 1 species